rnacentral:lncRNA from 1 species
CCUGAUUGUUCAUGUACCAUGCUCUUCUCAGCACAGAAAAUAUCACAUAGAACAAGGAUAUUUUGAAACUCACAACACUAUCCCUACGCCAUGUUUUAUUAAGGAGGGUCUUGCUUUCUACUAAACCUAAAUAGUCUUCCUUACUUUUAAAUAGUCAAGGUACUCUCCUAACACUCCCAAGGCACUCUGAAUUUCCUGACACAGAACUGAACACACAAAUACCACCCAUUUGUCCAUCUUCUUCCCCGAACCCUACAAGCGCAGGGCCUGUGUCUUUCCCAUUCACAGUUGCCUUUAAGCCCAGCAUAGCACAUAGAGGACUGAAGAUUAUAACAAGAAAAUUAUGAUAGAGCAACCUUGAUGUUCUGGCGUGUCCCUUGGGAAACGUCAUGAGCUGAUACGAUGGAUGGAGAGGGAAGCGUAUGGAAGUGAAAAAUUAAAACCAGCUUCUGGUUUUCACAGUCUCUACUGUCUGGAGUCUUGCUCUGUUCCUGUCUUGAAGCAGUCAAGGAUUAAAGGGAAGAAUUUGUUUGGGAGAAGAGGGGCAAAGAGUGGGACCAUCCAGCGGAGUUUCCUUCUCCACCAUGACAUACCCACCUGCAAAGCCUAGAGUCAAUCCUCAUUAGGCACCACAUAACCAGAAGAAAACUGGCUUUUAGUCAAUUUCAGCCAAGGAGUCAGUAUGAAGCCUCUAUGCCAAAUCAGGAGAGAAUGGUGCUCAGAAACUGUGUUCCUUGCACCUCCAAGAUCACAGAGCCAACCUCUCUCUGUGGGUCUGCUCAACUCCAAAUCCAGUCGGUGGACUUGGCUCUCCUGCCCUUGUCAUCUGGACACAGUAAUGCUCCAACAUUUGGGUAUUUUUUGUGGUGGGGAAGACUUCCUCUGGGUUUGCACCUCACCGGUGAUUCUUCACGGAGAAGGAAGAGGAGAUUGAAACUUCAGGCCAGUGUAACUCUGCUCUUCAGCUUCUCUCUGACAUUACAAAACCUUCAUUUCCUUCCUCUCCCCCAUCUUCUGAUAUGCCCAUCUCUUCUGAGAAGCAUGAGAAAUACAUCUUGUUCUUUGGAUUCCCUUUUACCCUUGGACAAAGUCACCUUGGUUGGCAAUUAGUGAUUAUUAAUAAAAAGAUGGCAAACAUAUUCAUAGAUGUUUGCUGUAUGCUGGCCAUCAGGUUCUGAGUUUCCAAAUAUUUAUCUCAUUAGAUCCUGUUAGAUAAAAGGUGUUAUGCAGACAUUUUAACUCCUGUUUUACAGACAUGGAAACUAAGACUAAGGAAGGCCAAACUAACAAGUUGGUAGAGUCUGGGCUUAAAUUAGGGUCUGCAGACUUCAAAGCUUUUCCAUAACAUCAUUGCUGUCUGUCAUCUGUGGAAGAACCAUUACUCAAGGGCUUGGGGACAAGGCCUAACUCACUUUUGUGAUCCUAGUAACUAGGAUUGUGCUUGUCACCUUUUAGGUGCUUAUUGUGGAACUUAAUUUUGGGAGAAGAGGAGUUUCCCAAAUUGCAUACUAUCUUUGGAAUGAGCCUCAGCAUCCAUUCCUAAACAUCUUCUCUGCCUUGGCUGAGUCACAGAAAAUGACUCUUGCUCCCUAAAGGUGGGUGGUUUGACUGUGAGAUCAUCUUGGGGACAUAGGUAUGUCUGGGAGCAGAUGGCUCAUUCCAAGUGGGAAGGUCCCAGGAAGGAAGCAAACGGUUUGGGUCUACUGCAUUCUGCUUUGGAAGAGGCCAAAGUAAACCGUUAUACCAGCAGCUCCCAGUUUGUGUCAAGUGACCCAUGGUAUUUGAGCAAACUCACACAUGUGCUGGAGGAUGUU